rnacentral:ncRNA from 1 species
UAUGAUAGAGGCGCGAUGCUCAAGAGUAGCUCCAUAAAAGCGGCGGGAACCGCGGGAGCGAAAGGGUGUGUCGCCGAAGGGUUUCCGGCUUCCCGGUCGGUUUCGCCUGGGUCGUCGGAUAAUAUCCGGCGGACUGUCGCCUUGAGCUUGUAUUGCAGGCUCAGGAGCGGAGAGCUGUCGG